UACAGAGGUCUCAAGCGUUGUUCGGAUUCAUUGGGCGUAAAGGGUGCGUAGGUGGCGCGGUAAGUCGGGUGUGAAAUUUCGGAGCUUAACUCCGAAACUGCAUUCGAUACUGCCGUGCUUGAGGACUGGAGAGGAGACUGGAAUUUACGGUGUAGCAGUGAAAUGCGUAGAUAUCGUAAGGAAGACCAGUGGCGAAGGCGGGUCUCUGGACCGGUACUGACGCUGAGGCGCGAAAGCGUGGGGAGCAAACAGG
rnacentral:rRNA from 1 species